AUACUUGAGUCCCACCCUGCAGA
rnacentral:siRNA from 1 species